AGGUCUAUGUUUACCCUAACCCUUAAUUUGUACUUCUAGUCUAAUCAGAUGUGUUCAAUUUGUCACGUGUCUCUUAUUGAUCUGUUUAAUUUGAACAAUAAGCCACGCAUUUGCUGUGCAGUGAAAUUUGUACCCACCGUCCACACCUUCUACCUCCUUAGAUAGUUAUUUAUAUUUGUAAUAAUAGGGGGUCAUGGUUGCAUUCAGCACCACAUGUUUUAUUACUAUGUAACAUGUUUUUGAAUGCCCCCUUUUUUGUACAUAUAUUUUCGUCAUUUACUAAAUAAAUUACAAUUUUUAUUCUU
rnacentral:sRNA from 1 species